UUAAAUUUAUGUAAAUUUACGUAAUAUAGUCCAGUCGUGAUGUAAGUCACGAUAACAAAUACACAUUGAAUUGCUGGAAAACCCUAAAACUACAAUUACCAAAGCAGAAGGAUGAAAUAUGCCUAGAUGGACGGUUACGAAAGUAGAAAGAAAAUUGUAGAUGGCGCAAGGUUAAAUCCUAAACGCUGAAAUAAUGGGCAAUCAGCAGCCAAGUUCCGAAAAGGAAAAGGUUCAACGACUAUCCGCGUGGGAGCGGUUAGGAUGCAAGUGUUUGGCAUCCAAAGUAGUGUGCCCCAGUGUUUUUACUGGGUGAAGAUAUAGUCUUCACUCGUAUGAGAGUACGAG
rnacentral:ncRNA from 1 species